rnacentral:rRNA from 1 species
CGAUUAGGGUUCGAUUCUGGCUCAGGAUGAACGCUAGCGAUAGGCCUAACACAUGCAAGUCGAGGGGCAGCACAUGAAGUAGCAAUACAGAUGGUGGCGACCGGCGCACGGGUGAGUAACACGUAUGCAACCUACCUUCCACAGGAGAAUAACCCGUUGAAAAACGGACUAAUACUCCAUAAUACAGGGGUCCCGCAUGGGAAUAUUUGUUAAAGAUUUUUUUUCGGUAGAAGAUGGGCAUGCGUUCCAUUAGCUAGUUGGUAGAGGUAACGGCUCACCAAGGCAACGAUGGAUAGGGGAACUGAGAGGUUUAUCCCCCACACUGGUACUGAGACACGGACCAGACUCCUACGGGAGGCAGCAGUGAGGAAUAUUGGUCAAUGGAGGCAACUCUGAACCAGCCACGUCGCGUGAAGGAUGACGGCCCUACGGGUUGUAAACUUCUUUUUUACAGGAAUAAAGUGAGUCACGUGUGACUUUUUGCAUGUACUGUAUGAAUAAGGAUCGGCUAACUCCGUGCCAGCAGCCGCGGUAAUACGGAGGAUCCAAGCGUUAUCCGGAUUUAUUGGGUUUAAAGGGUGCGCAGGCGGAAGAUUAAGUCGGCGGUGAAAUUUUGCAGCUCAACUGUAAAAGUGCCAUCGAUACUGGUUUUCUUGAGUGUGGAUGAAGUAGGCGGAAUUUGUGGUGUAGCGGUGAAAUGCAUAGAUAUCACGAGGAACUCCGAUUGCGCAGGCAGCUUACUAGGCCAUAACUGACG